AUCCAGAAGAAGAGUCCCAAGUAGGACGAAAUGCGAAUCCCUACUGGAU
rnacentral:hammerhead_ribozyme from 1 species